rnacentral:rRNA from 1 species
GGAUCCAGACUUUGAUUCUGGCUCAGGAUGAACGCUAGCUACAGGCUUAACACAUGCAAGUCGAGGGGCAGCAUGUUGGUUGCUUGCAACCGAUGAUGGCGACCGGCGCACGGGUGAGUAACGCGUAUCCAACCUACCCUUGUCCAUCGGAUAACCCGUCGAAAGGCGGCCUAACACGAUAUGCGGUUCACAGCAGGCAUCUAAGGUGAACGAAAUGUGAAGGAGAAGGAUGGGGAUGCGUCUGAUUAGCUUGUUGGCGGGGUAACGGCCCACCAAGGCUACGAUCAGUAGGGGUUCUGAGAGGAAGGUCCCCCACAUUGGAACUGAGACACGGUCCAAACUCCUACGGGAGGCAGCAGUGAGGAAUAUUGGUCAAUGGACGAGAGUCUGAACCAGCCAAGUAGCGUGCAGGAUGGCGGCCCUAUGGGUUGUAAACUGCUUUUAUAGGGGGAUAAGGUGUGCCACGUGUGGCAUAUUGCAGGUACCCUAUGAAUAAGGACCGGCUAAUUCCGUGCCAGCAGCCGCGGUAAUACGGAAGGUCCGGGCGUUAUCCGGAUUUAUUGGGUUUAAAGGGAGCGUAGGCCGUUUGGUAAGCGUGUUGUGAAAUGUCGGGGCUCAACCUGGGCAUUGCAGCGCGAACUGCCAGACUUGAGUGCGCAGGAAGUAGGCGGAAUUCGUCGUGUAGCGGUGAAAUGCUUAGAUAUGACGAAGAACUCCGAUCGCGAAGGCAGCCUGCUGUAGCGCAACUGACGCUGAAGCUCGAAAGCGUGGGUAUCGAACAGGAUUAGAUACCCUGGUAGUCCACGCGGUAAACGAUGGAUGCUCGCUGUUUGCGUCUGACGUAAGCGGCCAAGCGAGAGCGUUAAGCAUCCCACCUGGGGAGUACGCCGGCAACGGUGCAACUCAAAUGA